ACGGAAGGCAGCAGUGGGGAAUAUUGCACAAUGGGCGCAAGCCUGAUGCAGCAACGCCGCGUGAGGGAUGACGGUCUUCGGAUUGUAAACCUUUGUCUUUGGUGAAGAAGAAAGUGACGGUAACCAAGGAGGAAGCCACGGCUAACUACGUGCCAGCAGCCGCGGUAAUACGUAGGUGGCAAGCGUUGUCCGGAAUUACUGGGUGUAAAGGGAGCGCAGGCGGGACUGCAAGUUGGAUGUGAAAUACCGAGGCUCAACCUCGGAGCUGCAUCCAAAACUGUAGUUCUUGAGUGGAGUAGAGGUAAGCGGAAUUCCGAGUGUAGCGGUGAAAUGCGUAGAUAUUCGGAGGAACACCAGUGGCAAAGGCGGCUUACUGGGCUCUAACUGACGCUGAGGCUCGAAAGUGUGGGGAGCAAACAGGAUUAGAUACCCUGGUA
rnacentral:rRNA from 1 species